AGUGGCGCACGGGUGCGUAACACGUAUGUAACCUACCCAUAUCAGGGGGAUAGCCUCUCGAAAGAGAGAUUAAGCCCGCAUAACAUCACGAUAUAGCAUUGUAAUGUGAUCAAAUAUUUAUAGGAUAUGGAUGGGCAUGCGGAACAUUAGCUAGCUGGUAAGGUAACGGCUUACCAAGGCUACGAUGUUUAGGGGAUCUGAGAGGAUGACCCCCCACACUGGUACUGAGACACGGACCAGACUCCUACGGGAGGCAGCAGUAAGGAAUAUUGGUCAAUGGGCGGAAGCCUGAACCAGCCAUGCCGCGUGCAGGAAGACGGCCCUACGGGUUGUAAACUGCUUUUGCAGGGGAAUAAACCUUGGUAUGUAUACCGAGUUGAGUGUACUCUGAGAAUAAGGAUCGGCUAACUCCGUGCCAGCAGCCGCGGUAAUACGGAGGAUCCGAGCGUUAUCCGGAUUUAUUGGGUUUAAAGGGUGCGUAGGCGGCCUAUUAAGUCAGGGGUGAAAGACGGUAGCUUAACUAUCGCAGUGCCUUUGA
rnacentral:rRNA from 1 species